rnacentral:rRNA from 1 species
UACGAAGGGGCUAGCGUUGCUUCGGAAUCACUGGGCGUAAAGCGCACGUAGGCGGAUUGUUAAGUCAGGGGUGAAAUCCUGGAGCUCAACUCCAGAACUGCCUUUGAUACUGGCGAUCUCGAGUUCGGGAGAGGUGAGUGGAACUGCGAGUGUAGAGGUGAAAUUCGUAGAUAUUCGCAAGAACACCAGUGGCGAAGGCGGCUCACUGGCCCGGUACUGACGCUGAGGUGCGAAAGCGUGGGGAGCAAACAGG